rnacentral:snoRNA from 1 species
CCCAGCAGUAGGCAACUGCCGGCUGCCUCGUACCUAGGCAAAUGUUACACUGCUGGGAGAAAAGCAGCUAUAACUGGCCAGCAUUCUGGGCCUGCUUAAUGCCAAAUUUGUGUUAACUAU